rnacentral:rRNA from 1 species
AACGAACGUUGGCGGCGUGGAUUAGGCAUGCAAGUCGAGCGAAUCCCAGCAAUGGGGGAAGCGGCGAAAGGGGCAGUAAGGCAUGGGUAACCUACCCUGGGGACUGGGAUGGCCCUUCGAGAGAAGGGGUAAUACCGGGCGACGUGCCGAGGAGGCAUCUCUUUGUCACCAAAUGAAUUUCGCCCUGGGAGGGGCCCAUGUGAUAUUAGCUAGUUGGUGGGGUAACGGCCCACCAAGGCGAAGAUGUCUAGCGGGUGUGAGAGCACGACCCGCGCCACUGGCACUGAGACACUGGCCAGACACCUACGGGUGGCUGCAGUCGAGGAUCUUCGGCAAUGGGCGCAAGCCUGACCGAGCGACGCCGCGUGUGCGAUGAAGGCCUUCGGGUUGUAAAGCACUGUCGAGAGGGAGAAAAGCGCAAGCUUGAUCUAUCUCUGGAGGAAGCACGGGCUAAGUUCGUGCCAGCAGCCGCGGUAACAC